AGUCGGAAAGACGAUCGCGGGCGGACGCAGGAGCCGUCUGAGGAAAGUCCGGGCUCCACAGGGCAGCGUGCUGGAUAACGUCCAGCGGGGGCGACCUCCGGGAAAGUGUCAUAGAAAAGAAAACCGCCGGUUUUUCCGGUAAGGGUGGAAAGGCGCGGUAAGAGCGCACCAGCGGUCAGGCGACUGAUCGGCUUGACAAACCCCACGCGGAGCAAGACCAAAUAGGGAAGGGAUGAUGCGGCCCGCGGAACCUUCCGGGUUGAGUCGCUAAAGCCGCCGGGCAACCGUCGGCGCAGAUAAAUGAUCGUCGCCGCGCGAGCGGAACAGAACCCGGCUUAUUG
rnacentral:RNase_P_RNA from 1 species